UUGGAGGGCAAGUCUGGUGCCAGCAGCCGCGGUAAUUCCAGCUCCAAUAGCGUAUAUUAAAGUUGUUGCAGUUAAAAAGCUCGUAGUUGAAUUUCGGGGUUCUACCGUUGGUCGGGCUUUGUCUGUACUGGUGUGUAGAAUUUCUACCUUCUGGGGAACCAUCAUGCUAUUAAUUUAGCGUGGUGGGAAACCAGGACCUUUACCUUAAAAAAAUUAGUGUGUUCAAAGCAGGCUUAUGUCUGAAUACAUUAGCGUGGAAUAAUAGAAUAGGACGGUGGUCCUGUUUUGUUGGUUUCUGAAUCACCGUAAUGAUUAAUAGGGAUAGUUGGGGGCAUUAGUAUUCAAUUGUCAGAGGUGAAAUUCUUGGAUUUAUUGAAGACUAACUUCUGCGAAAGCAUUUGCCAAGGAUGUUUUCAUUAAUCAAGAACGAAAGUUAGGGGAUCGAAGACGAUCAGAUACCGUCGUAGUCUUAACCAUAAACUAUGCCGACUAGGGAUCGGACGAUGUUAAUUUUUCCUGACUCGUUCGGCGCCUUACGGGAAAC
rnacentral:rRNA from 1 species